rnacentral:rRNA from 1 species
UACAGAGGGGCAAGCGUUAUUCGGAAUUAUUGGGCGUAAAGGGCGCGUAGGCGGCCUGGCAAGCGGAAGGUGAAAUCCCUCGGCUUAACCGAGGAACUGCCCUCCAAACUGCUUGGCUUGAGUCCGGGAGAGGUGAGUGGAAUUCCCAGUGUAGCGGUGAAAUGCGUAGAUAUUGGGAGGAACACCAGUGGCGAAGGCGGCUCACUGGACCGGAACUGACGCUGAGGCGCGAAAGCGUGGGGAGCAAACGGG